UACGUAGGGUGCAAGCGUUAAUCGGAAUUACUGGGCGUAAAGCGUGCGCAGGCGGUUAUGUAAGACAGUUGUGAAAUCCCCGGGCUCAACCUGGGAACUGCAUCUGUGACUGCAUAGCUAGAGUACGGUAGAGGGGGGUGGAAUUCCGCGUGUAGCAGUGAAAUGCGUAGAUAUGCGGAGGAACACCGAUGGCGAAGGCAAUCCCCUGGACCUGUACUGACGCUCAUGCACGAAAGCGUGGGGAGCAAACAGG
rnacentral:rRNA from 1 species